AUUGAACGCUGGCGGUAUGCCUUACACAUGCAAGUCGAACGGUAGAGGAGCAAUCCUUGAGAGUGGCGAACGGGUGAGUAAUACAUCGGAACGUGCCCAGUUGUGGGGGAUAACGUAGCGAAAGCUACGCUAAUACCGCAUACGACCUGAGGGUGAAAGCGGGGGACCUGAGAGGGCCUCGCGCGAUUGGAGCGGCCGAUGGCAGAUUAGGUAGUUGGUGGGUAAAGGCCUACCAAGCCUGCGAUCUGUAGCUGGUCUGAGAGGACGACCAGCCAAACUGGGACUGAGACACGGCCCAGACGCCUACGGGAGGCAGCAGUGGGGAAUUUUGGACAAUGGGCGAAAGCCUGAUCCAGCCAUACCGCGUGUGGGAAGAAGGCCUUCGGGUUGUAAACCACUUUUGUCAGGGAAGAAAUGCUCUGGGCUAAUACCCUGGGGAGAUGACGGUACCUGAAGAAUAAGCACCGGCUAACUACGUGCCAGCAGCCGCCGUAA
rnacentral:rRNA from 1 species